UGGGCUGGUCGAACGACCCUGGUCCACCGAGCAGCGGGGAAUUCCCCG
ncrna:unclassified sequences DTF3800-XI RNA